CCUACUUGUGCUGCUCUUCAGUAUAGCAGGGAGAAGACAGAGCUGGAUGUGUGGAUGAAAGGAACAUUCAAAAACAGAGACACUGUGUCCCUCCGUAAGUGAGUCCAUCCUUCAAUAGGCCUUGAUAGAACCUACAGUUUGUAGCUGGGCAUUUGGCUGUCUGGAAUUAAGAUUACAUUUCCCAACUUCUCUUUUGACAAGG